rnacentral:misc_RNA from 1 species
UUAACAAAUUUUGCUUUUCGCUCAGACUGCAAACUUCAGACAGCGUUCAAUGGUGUCUUCGGCGGGCGCGGGCCCGGGGGCGGAUGCCCCCCGGCGGCCGUGAGGCGGGCCCGCCGAAGCAACAAGGUUCGUUAAACACGGGUGGGAGGUUGGACCCCGAGGGGCCCUCACUCAGUAAUGAUCCUUCCGCAGGUUCACCUACGGAAA